rnacentral:snRNA from 1 species
GGAUGUGAGGGCGAUCUGGCUGCGACAUCUGUCACCCCAUUGAUCGCCAGGGUUAAUUCGGCUGAUCUGGCUGGCUAGGUGGGUGUCCCCUUCCUCCCUCACCACUCCAUGUGCAUCCCUCCCGAAGCUGCGCGCUCGGUCGAAGAAGACAGCCUUCCCCGAAUAGAGACGGACCGGUCUUCGAUCGAGUAGCUGCACUCCCCUGCUAGAACCUCCAAACGAGCUCUCAAAUAUUACUGAAAGUCUUGGUCAGUAAAAGAAAUAAAAGGCAUUCAAAUUGGAAGGAAGAGAUAAAAAUAGCUCUGAUUGUAUGACAUAAUUU